GGCCUCUGCUGACUUACGGUUUCACUAGGGGAGAAGGACUGGGAAGAACAAAAGUUGUUUUCUGGAAAAAGUGCCCUUUUUGUGUCUUCCUUCCCUCUUAGAUCCUAUUGUCUGAUGAUGCUUUAAUCUCUAUUAUCUACCUGUGGUCAUGUAUGUAGAUGGGGUUCUGAGUGUUUCACUUGGAUAAGGUGUCUGUUUUACUGGGAGCCCUAGGAUACAUCCUCAGUACCAAAGCAGCUCACCGACUUGGUUCAGCUGCCCCUGCUGCAUACACACCCAAUUUCUCCUAUUCCUGGGGUUCCCAGAUAUUAUGGUUGCCGUCCUUGGGGUCUCUUCAGCUCAGACUUUAUCCUCUGUCAGCGGCCUCUGCCCUCUGAUCUCUCCCUAGCUCUCACCUCCUGCCUGGAUUAAAGGAUUGCCUGCAUGUCUCACUCGGGAGCUGUGGGAAAUAGCUCUUGACACCGUGAUGGACCAUUAGAUUAGAGAACCCUGGAGCAUUGUGUGUAAUCAGAGUCAAUGCGUGUUUUCCGGUUCAUGUAUGGUUCACAGGAAUUUUCCCCUCUGCCUUCAUUGCUUUUUUUUCAUUUUCGAGGGUAAACCUUAAAGGAAUUGUUUCCCUGGCCUACUACAAAAUUUAUAAGCAAGUCAAGGAGAAAAGAAAGGAGAAAAAAAGGUGAGUCAGUGGAGUUGCUUUGGCUGUGAGUUCAGGGAAGGAAGCUGUAAACAUGAUUAUUUAUUAGCUAAUCAGUCAGCCAAUCAGUUCUCAGUAUUUAUGGAGUGCUCACUGAGUGAGGGAAGUAGCAUGGUGUAAGACCAAGAAUGGGAGCUUGAAAAAAUACCCAGUUUGGGGGAAGGUGCUUAUCUGGUUGCCUGAUUGCAAUUCUGGUUCUGUACCAUAGAGUCAUUGGGCUGCAGGGAAUCCUGGAGAGAUGGGGGUGUGAGUGUGGGGUGUGGGUGGAGUCAGGAAGGGGUGGAGCAUAUGGCUAUGCCCCUUGCUUUUGGAUGAGGAGGCAGCAGAGGUUAUGUUCAAUGUAGAGUGUAAAUGAUUUGGAGAAGAACAUGUUUAUUUGGUUAUGGAAGCAGCAGCAGAGCCUAGAGUUGGAGAGCCCUGUGUUCUCUGCCCAGCUUUGCCACUCACUAGGUGAUCCUGGACAUGUCACUUCCUCUCUUGGUGCCUUAGUUGUGUCAUGUGCUAACUGAGGGGGUCAUACUUAACACUAGAGUCCUUUUCAGCUCUGUUAAACAUGAUUUGAGACCUCUAGGAAUGGUAUCUAGAGUAUGACUCCUACUGUCUUAUUCAGCCCUGUAUCCUAUUUGCACCCAUGAACAAUGGAUGCUACUGUUCAUGGGUACAAAUAGCACAUGAACAAUGGUGCCUUUAUGUGGAAAUGUGUACCUAUCCAUGUGGCCGUUAUGCCAGGGCAAGUAGGUUUCAUAGUAUUUACCAGAAUGGGUGAUCCUUAGGAUUCACAGGGAAUCUGCUGUCAGGAGUCCUUCCACACAGGAGCCUAAUUUAUGCUAUUGAACAAGAGCAGCUGACUUUUGAGAAGUACCUAAAGUGACCUUCCAACCUGGUAUUGGGUUUGGGUGUCUGGGAGGAGCCCUAGGUUGUGAGCAAGCCCUGAUUCUCUUAAGGUGGGAGGAUUUCACUAACGCUUUCAGUGGGGUGUUACCAUGGCAGGUGAUGAGCAUCUGUGCAAGAUGAAGCACCUUAAACAACCAAAGAAGAGUAGUCUUGCAGAGGAUGGGUGCUGAUAGUGGAGACAGCCUCCCCUGCUGUGGAAAAGCCCAUCUUUGUGGAAAUCUUGGGACACAAGAAAAGAUACUGCUACAUGCACCACGCUGUUGCACUCCUCUGGCCUAAUAUGACUAAUUGUAGAGCAGGAAUCCCUUCACUGAGUGUCAUUUGCUGAAGUCACAUGAGUUUGGGAAACAUUGCAAGGGUUGGAACAUACCAGAGCCAGGGAUUCGUUGAUUAUGUCCUUAGUGACAAGGUAGAGAUGCAUUACCAAGGUGGUAUUGUGACAUUUUGGUGCUUAGAUUCUGAAGGCUCAUACAAUGAUUAAAAUGAUUUUUAAUGUAAGUUGACUGGCUGGGUAAUUAUGUACAUUCUGCUUUUUUGCAAGCAAAGUGUCUUUAUAUACAUUAUCUCAUUUAAUCCCUUCAAUGAUCCUAUUUUAAAGAAAAAAAAAAAAAGGAUCAUCAGAAAUUUGGGAACCUGUCAGUGGUCACACAUCAGAAAUUGGUGGUGCAGAGUCUCAAAAUAGAGAUCCACAGACUAAGCCAGUGCUUUCUCUGCUCCUGUCUCAAAGCUUGAGUAAUUGGCUACCAGGAACUUCUAACACUUUGGAUCAGUCCCUCAAGGAGGCCUCACCUCAGAGCCCUUCUACUUUUUCUGUGUUUCUAGGGAGGUAGUCCUGUAUUCCUGGUUAUCACUAUUCUUUUCCAUGUAGAUAGGUAAAAUCAAAAAGUGAUACUGCAAGUAUGGCUCAAGACAUCUGGUUUGACUGUAGCAAAAUUAAUUAUUUUUAUUUCCAUAAAAGACUUGCUAUCUUUUCCAGGUACAGUUUCUCUUGGUCUCAGUUUCUAAGAAAUUGCCAAGAGUCGUGUUUUACAAUAGAAAAAUUAAAUAUGUAAAAACUAAAUUCAUAAGUCAGAGAAAUUGGUAGAUAGUUAUGCUCAGUGAAUAAAGGGUGUGAAAUAAAUUAUCUUGAAGAUACUUUGCAUUCUAAAAAUUUGAUUUUGCAUUUCCAGGAUUCUCUGGAAUAGAGUAGCUCUUUAGGAUGUUUUGAAUAGAUUCCAGUUGAUAAGCUGCUGCCCUGUGACUUUAUCUCUCUCAUUUCAUUUCGUUAUAGUCUCUCCUAUCCUCAGCCAUUUUCAUCAUUUGGACAUUUUACAUUUUACUUUUUAACUAACGAACAAAUAUUUCCUGAAUAUCUACUCUGUAUAAGAAUACAGGAGUUCCUGUUGUGGUGCAGUGGAAAUGAAUAUGACUAGUAUCCACUGAGGAUGCAGAUUCUGCCCCUGGCCUCACUCAGUGUGUUAAGGAUCUGUGUUGCUGUGAGCUAUGGUAUAGAUUGCAGAGGUGGCUUGAAUCCCACGUGGCUGUGGCUGUGGCUGUUGCGUACAUAGCCGCAGCUACAGCUCUGAUUCAACCACUAUCCUGGGAACCUUCAUAUGUUGUGGGGUUUUUUGGUGUUUUUGUUUUGUUUUUUUAAAGAAUACAAGCCAAUUACUGGCUUUAGCAGACUUAGAAUCUAAUUGGAGAGACAAAAUAGAGACAUGUGGAGACUAUAUUAGGAAUUCACAGGAAACUUCAGAAUCACGUGAGAACUGUGAUGAGACAAUGCAUAACCCAUCACUGAGUGAGCCCUGGGGUGCGCUGAAUGUCAGAAGGGACCAACUGGUUAAAUUGAGUAAUAUGUUGAGGGAUGGAUGAAUUAAGAGAGCAGUUUGGAGGUGGGGAGAGUGAGUGAAUUACAACCAAGUCUAGCUUGUGUUUGGGAGGUGCAGAGUCACCUGGUUUGCAGAGAGUUCCUAUAAGUGACAAAGUGUUACAUGGUCAGAAGGACAGGUUUGGGAUGUGACCAAGGUUCUAGUUCUAUUACUGUAAGCUAAUUUUCAUCUAAAUUUAACCACUGAGAGGUCUCUGUUCAGAGUUCUAACUAGACCACAGAUUUUUCUCUAGAUCCCAGUUGGCACAGUGCGUAGGAUAAAACUGAGUUCUGUCUUAAUGAAUCUCUCUCUUGAGUUAAUAAUAAUCCUUAUGUUUUUCAAAGUGCUUUUGGUGUCUGUUGUCUUACCAGACGUCUUCUACAAGCCAACAGGACAGGUUCUCUAGCUUUCUUUUAUAUGAUGAAAUUGAGACUCAGAGAAGUUAAAUGACUUUCUCAAGAUGAUUCAGCUAAUUGGUGAUGAAACUGAGAUAUUACCCAGGUUUCCGUGAGAAAAUAGUUCUCAAUAUUUCCAAAUUGAGGUAUUGAGGUUUCCAUGAUGGUUAACUCAUGCAUUUGGAAAUGUGAUGUUGACAGCCUUUAUGGAGAUUCAGAGAAUAAUACAGAAUGUAGCCAUGAAACACUGUACAUGGAGUGGGACCAUCUGAGCAUGGAACCUCAGGCAGGGACCCUGAAUGUUCUGGUCCACACGUGUGACAGGUUCUUAGUGUCAUUUAUCUUUCUGGUUUAGUUAAAGUAGAAUAAUUAUCCAAAAGUUUCUGGGAAAUGUCAUGCCACUGUUAAAACUAAGGCAGUAGUAAAAAUCCUUCUUAUCCUCAAUUACCUAGUAUCUAAGGUGCAAUUUCCUGAUGGGUAUAUCUGAAAUCUUGGUAUUCACAAUUUUUGUCAUUACUGUUUAAUGCAUAAAUUUAUCUGUCUCAGGGGUGAAAUUUGAAAUCAAUGACAAUGAAACCACCUCCCUCAGAUCUUUUUUUUUUUUUUUGAUGAAUACAUUUGAAUUUCAUUUUAUGUCAGAACCGUCUCUCUGGUUGUGACAGAGACAUAUGCAAACUAGCACUGGCAAAGAGGGAAGGACACUGAUUGAUGUAACUGGGAAGUCCAAGAAAUGAAGCCGCUUCAGGAAUAGCUGGAUUGAAGACUUUGGGUGAUGUCCUCAGGACCCUGUUUCUCUGGCUCUCCCCAUGUCUGGAUUCUACUUUGCUAUGUGUUGACUUCAAGUUCCGGCACAUUGUUCCCCUGGCAGCCCGGGGGGUUACUUGUCCUUAGAGUGAGUGAACUCAGAUAAAUGAACAAGGCGUUACAUACACGUUCCUCUGUUACCAUCUCUUUGGCCCUGUUGAAUAAUAGGUUUGUCCCGGGCCAGACAGUGGGUCCAGGGAUGGGUUCUUUGACCAAGCACAUAGGCUUCUAUCACUGGCUGAAUCCAAGGCAAGGAAAGGGGUCCGUCUAUUGACCAAUAACUCGGUCUGAAUUACAUAGAAUGGGAAGGGCAGGUUCCAAAAGACAAAAAACUGUUUUACCAGAAGAGGGGAAGGGAUGUCACAAGGCAAAACCAAGACAAGUCCAUUGUAAUGAUCAUUGCACCUUGUAUACCAUUAUGGGGCUCCUAUACAACUAGUCAGGGAGGUAAAGUAUCAGUGAACCCUAAAUCAUAGGUUCAGCUUCUCUCAAAAUAAUGAUAAAUGGAAAAGCCUGAUUGUCUAAAUAGUUUAUGCUGGGUUGAACAAGUCUCACCAUUUAUAAAGUGGGGUAAUAAUAGUACUACAAAAGAUUUGGAAUAAUUCAGUGAGGUGUGCAUGCAAAGUAGUUAACACUGUUUCUGGACCAAAGUCAACACACAGUAAAUCAGUCAUCCCUCAGAAUCUCUCAGACACUGGUCCUAGGACCCCUGUAGGACCCCUCAAGUUCCUUAUAUAAAAUGAUGUAGUAUUUGAGUAUAACCUACACGCAUCCUCUCAUGUACUUUAAAUCAUUCCUAGAUUACCUAUAAUACCUAACACAAUCUAAACACUAUAGAAAUUGUUGUUACACUGUAUUGUUUAGAGAAUAAUAGCAAGAAAAAGCCUGUACUGUUCACUACAGAUGUAACUAUUAUAGGCCUAACUACAUAGUGCAUGUCAGCAACAGUGUUAUAUUACUAGGGAUUGCUUUCAUUUAGUGACCUGAAAGAGAAAUACACCAAAUAAAACACAGAAUGUUUAAAAUACAAAUAAAAAUAGAUAAUAUAAUUUAUAAAUUAAAAAAUAUAAAUUGCCAUGUCUUGGCUGUUGUGAAUGGUGCUGCAAUGAACUUGUGGGUGCAUGUGUCUUUUUUAAGGAAAGUUUUGUCCAGAUAUAUGCCCAAGAGUGGGAUUGCUG
rnacentral:lncRNA from 1 species